rnacentral:rRNA from 1 species
UUGUUAAAGAGUUUGAUCCUGGCUCAGGAUGAACGCCGGCGGCACGCUUAACACAUGCAAGUCGAACGGACUUAGGAGCUUGCUCCGAAGGUUAGUGGCGGACGGGUGAGUAACACGUGAGCAACCUGCCUAUCAGUGGGGAACAACGUUUGGAAACGAACGCUAAUACCGCAUAAUAUA